rnacentral:rRNA from 1 species
UGGGGAAUAUUGGACAAUGGGCGCAAGCCUGAUCCAGCCAUGCCGCGUGAGUGAUGAAGGCCUUAGGGUUGUAAAGCUCUUUCAGUGGUGAAGAUGAUGACGGUAACCACAGAAGAAGCCCCGGCUAACUCCGUGCCAGCAGCCGCGGUAAGACGGAGGGGGCUAGCGUUGUUCGGAAUUACUGGGCGUAAAGGGCGUGUAGGCGGAUCGGUCAGUCAGUGGUGAAAGCCCCGGGCUCAACCUGGGAAUUGCCUCUGAUACUGCCGAUCUAGAGUCCGGGAGAGGGUAGUGGAAUUCCCAGUGUAGAGGUGAAAUUCGUAGAUAUUGGGAAGAACACCAGUGGCGAAGGCGGCUACCUGGACCGGUACUGACGCUGAGGCGCGAAAGCGUGGGGAGCAAACAGGAUU